GUAAUGUAGUCAUUAUUUAUUUUAAGAUUAUUAUAAUGUAUACACUAGUCACUUGAUAAGACACGACACUUUCUUUAAAACUAUUUUGGAAGGCAAGAUCGAAGGUAGAAAAGGAAGAGGAAAACCACGAGCAAGUUACACGCAGCAACUAAAAGGAAAAGUAAAUGUCGUGUCUUACAGGGACCUAAAGAACUUGGCCGAGGACCGCGAAAACUGGCGUCUACUCCACCGACAAGAGCCAUGCUCUUAAAUGAUGAUGAUGAUAAUGUAUAAUGUUUACCCAGUUUCCGAAUAAGUCUUCAGGUUGCAACGCGCACGUUUAUAUAAAUCAAACAUGGACGCUGUACGCCAUUUUGGAUUAAGCUAUCGCUCGCAAUGCGUCGAGUAAUAGUUGUCACCAUUGUGCUGGCGGCUUUUGCGGUAGUACAGUGUGUAAAUUCGCCCCAGAAAGAUGCAAAUGUGACGUUAUCGGACGCAAAAACCAUAAAACCUGGUAGUAGAAGCAAACGACAAAUAGUGAAGAUACCUGAUAGCUAUUUCGAAGAUACUAACUAUGAGGACUCCUAUAAAUGGUGAGAAGUAAUAAUUACCUCUAUUAUUAAUGGUAUAUUACUAUUACUACAAAGGCCGGGAAACAGGGAAU